GUGACAAUCUAGGGGGUGCCAAAUGCUAUGACUGGUGACCCCCUCCUCAACGAUUCUCUGCCAAUGGGUCACCGAUUGCUCCUAAAUAUCGGCGGCCUUCUCCCAACCACCGGCGUGCAUUAGAGAUUAGUAGAGAAGGAGUGCAAGCCAGUAUUUCUCUCUGCCAAAACUCGGCUAGCAGCCCAUCGCAAAAACAAAUCGAAGGGCUGCCACCCUAUCCCCAAGGCC
rnacentral:lncRNA from 1 species